rnacentral:rRNA from 1 species
GACGAACGCUGGCGGCGUGCCUAACACAUGCAAGUCGAGCGGGGUGAGUUCUUCGGAACGAUCCUAGCGGCGGACGGGUGAGUAACACGUGGGUAACCUGCCUCAAAGUGGGGGAUAACCUUUCGAACGGAAGAUUAAUACCGCAUAACCCAUAGCUUCCGAAUGGAAGCAAUGGUAAAGAUUUAUCGCUUUGAGAUGGACCCGCGGCGCAUUAGCUAGUUGGUGAGGUAACGGCUCACCAAGGCCACGAUGCGUAGCCGACCUGAGAGGGUGAUCGGCCACAUUGGAACUGAGACACGGUCCAGACUCCUACGGGAGGCAGCAGUGGGGAAUAUUGCACAAUGGGCGCAAGCCUGAUGCAGCAACGCCGCGUGAGUGAUGAAGGUCUUCGGAUUGUAAAGCUCUGUCUUUGGGGACGAUAAUGACGGUACCCAAGGAGGAAGCCACGGCUAACUACGUGCCAGCCGCCGCCGUAAAAC